AUACGGAGGAUCCGAGCGUUAUCCGGAUUUAUUGGGUUUAAAGGGUGCGCAGGCGGCCAUUUAAGUCAGCGGUUAAAUCGUGGGGCUCAACCCCAUUCUGCCGUUGAUACUGGGUGGCUUGAUUGCGGUCGAGGUUGGCGGAAUUCGUUGUGUAGCGGUGAAAUGCAUAGAUAUGACGAAGAACACCGAUUGCGUAGGCAGCUGACCAGACCGCAAAUGACGCUCAUGCACGAAAGUGCGGGGAUCGAACAGGAUUAGAUACCCUGGUAGUCCGCACAGUAAACGAUGAAUACUUGUUUUCGGCGAUAUAAUGUCGGAGGCAAAGCGAAAGCGAUAAGUAUUCCACCUGGGGAGUACGCCGGCAACGGUUAAACUUAAAGGAAUUGACGGGG
rnacentral:rRNA from 1 species